ACGGAAGGCAGCAGUGGGGAAUAUUGCGCAAUGGGGGCAACCCUGACGCAGCAACGCCGCGUGAAGGAAGAAGGUCUUCGGAUUGUAAACUUUUGUCUUGAGGGACGAAAAGGACGGUACCUCGGGAGGAAGCCACGGCUAACUACGUGCCAGCAGCCGCGGUAAUACGUAGGUGGCAAGCGUUGUCCGGAUUUACUGGGUGUAAAGGGCGUGUAGGCGGGUUGAUAAGUCAGAUGUGAAAUACCGGGGCUCAACCCCGGGGCUGCAUUUGAAACUGUCAGUCUUGAGUGUCGGAGAGGUAAGCGGAAUUCCUAGUGUAGCGGUGAAAUGCGUAGAUAUUAGGAGGAACACCGGUGGCGAAGGCGGCUUACUGGACGACAACUGACGCUGAGGCGCGAAAGCGUGGGUAGCAAACAGGAUUAGAUACCCUGGUA
rnacentral:rRNA from 1 species